UACGUAGGGCGCGASGUUGUCCGGAAUUAUUGGGCGUAAAGAGCUCGUAGGCGGCUGGUCGCGUCUGUCGUGAAAUCCUCUGGCUUAACUGGGGGCUUGCGGUGGGUACGGGCCGGCUUGAGUGCGGUAGGGGAGACUGGAACUCCUGGUGUAGCGGUGGAAUGCGCAGAUAUCAGGAAGAACACCGGUGGCGAAGGCGGGUCUCUGGGCCGUUACUGACGCUGAGGAGCGAAAGCUUKUGGGGAGCGAACAGGAUUAGAUACCCUGGUAGUCCACGCCGUAAACGUUGGGCACUAGGUGUGGGGGGCCUUUUCCGGGUUUUCCGCGCCGUAGCUAACGCAUUAAGUGCCCCGCCUGGGGAGUACGGCCGCAAGCUAAAACUCAAAGGAAUUGACGGGGGCCCGCACAAGCGGCGGAGCAUGCGGAUUAAUUCGAUGCAACGCGAAGAACCUUACCAAGGCUUGACAUGUGCCGGUCGCUCCGGAGACGGGGUUUCCCUCCUUUGUGGGGCCGGUUCACAGGUGGUGCAUGGUUGUCGUCAGCUCGUGUCGUGAGAUGUUGGGUUAAGUCCCGCAACGAGCGCAACCCUUGUCCCGUGUUGCCAGCACGUUGUGGUGGGGACUCGCGGGAGACUGCCGGGGUCAACUCGGAGGAAGGUGGGGAUGACGUCAAAUCAUCAUGCCCCUUAUGUCUUGGGCUUCACGCAUGCUACAAUGGCCGGUACAGAGGGCUGCGAUACCGUGAGGUGGAGCGAAUCCCUUAAAGCCGSUCUCAGUUCGGAUCGGUGUCUGCAACUCGACACCGUGAAGUUGGAGUCGCUAGUAAUCGCAGAUCAGCAACGCUGCGGUGAAUACGUUCUCGGGCCU
rnacentral:rRNA from 1 species